UACGUAGGGGCCAAGCGUUGUCCGGAUUUAUUGGGCGUAAAGAGCUCGUAGGCGGUUCGGCAAGUCAGCUGUGAAAUCUCCACGCUCAACGUGGAGGGGUCAGCUGAUACUGCUGUGACUCGAGUCCGGUAGGGGAGUGUGGAAUUCCCGGUGUAGCGGUGAAAUGCGCAGAUAUCAGGAGGAACACCGGUGGCGAAGGCGGAUCUCUGGGCCAUUACUGACGCUGAGGAGCGAAAGCGUGGGGAGCGAACAGG
rnacentral:rRNA from 1 species